ACGAACGCUGNCGGCGUGGAUAAGACAUGCAAGUCGAACGGGGCUUAUAGCAAUAUAAGUUCAGUGGCGAACGGGUGCGUAACACGUGGGCAACUUGCCCUGGAGUGGGGGAUAGCCCGGGGAAACUCGGAUUAAUACCGCAUGUGAUAACUGGGAGGCAUUUUCUGGUUAUCAAAGCCGCAAGGCGCUCUAGGAUAGGCCCGCGUCCUAUCAGCUAGUUGGUGAGGUAAUGGCUCACCAAGGCGACGACGGGUAGCUGGUCUGAGAGGACGACCAGCCACACUGGAACUGAGACACGGUCCAGACACCUACGGGUGGCAGCAGUCGAGAAUCUUUCACAAUGGGGGCAACCCUGAUGGAGCGACGCCGCGUGGAGGAUGAAGGUCUUCGGAUUGUAAACUCCUGUCAAGUGGGAACAAAACCAGCAAUGGCGUGAUAGUACCACUAG
rnacentral:rRNA from 1 species